UACGAAGGGGGCUAGCGUUGUCCGGAAUCAUUGGGCGUAAAGCGCGCGUAGGCGGCCCGGUAAGUCCGCUGUGAAAGUCAAAGGCUCAACCUUUGAAUGUCAGCGGAUACUGCCAGGCUAGAGUCCGGAAGAGGCGAGUGGAACUCCUGGUGUAGCGGUGGAAUGCGCAGAUAUCAGGAAGAACACCAACGGCGAAGGCAGCUCGCUGGGACGGAACUGACGCUGAGGCGCGAAAGCGUGGGGAGCGAACAGG
rnacentral:rRNA from 1 species